rnacentral:misc_RNA from 1 species
GAUGAAGAACGUAGCGAAUGCGAUACGUAAUGUGAAUUGCAGAAUUCAGUGAAUCAUCGAGUCUUUGAACGCACAUUGCGCCCCCUGGUAUUCCGGGGGGCAUGCCUGUCCGAGCGUCAUUGCUGCCCUCAAGCACGGCUUGUGUGUUGGGCCUCCGUCCUCCUCCCGGGGGACGGGCCCGAAAGGCAGCGGCGGCACCGCGUCCGGUCCUCGAGCGUAUGGGGCUUCGUCACCCGCUCUUGUAGGCCCGGCCGGCGCUUGCCGACACAUCAAUCUUUUUUCCAGGUUGACCUCGGAUCAGGUAGGGAUACCCGCUGAACUUAAGCAUAUCAAUAAGCGGAGGA